rnacentral:lncRNA from 1 species
GGAGUCUCCUCACCCAGCUUUGAUGGUGGGGCGACUCCCGUGUCUGCAGCUGUGGUCCAAAGGGUGUCUGUGCUGGAUACAGAAGUUGCCGUGACAUUGGGCACAUACCAUCUGCAGCAUCUCUUUCUUCUUGCAGCCCUCUUUUGAGCAACGGUAUGUAAAAAUCUAAGAGAGCAAAGUGACUUCAACAAGCAAUUCUUUUUUUUGGAAACAGGGUCUUGCUCUGUUGCCCAGGCUGAAGUGCAGUGGCUUGAUCUUGGCUCACUGCAACCUCUGCCUCCUGGACUCAAGUGAUUCUCCUGCUUCAGCCUAGUACCUGGUACUACAGGCACACACCGCCACGUCCAGCUAAUUUUGUCUAUUUUCAUAGAGAUGAGGUCUUGCCACGUUACCCAGGCUGGUCUCAAACUCAGCCUCAAGUGAUCCUCCUGCCUUGGCCUCCCAAAGUGCUAAAAGAUUACAUGUGUGAGCCACUGUGCCGGCCUUAAUAAAUUCUUUAACAGCCCCCAGUAAGAACAUUCACAUUUAAACCAGACACGGUUCCUGUCUGCACAGAGUACAGAUGCAAAGUUUCAUUUGACCAUCUCAGUGCAGGUAAGAAGAAGAACAUGGGGCUGGACCCAGUGGCUCACGCCUGUCAUCCCAGCACUUUAGGAAGCCAAGACGAGUGGAUUGCCUGAGCUCAGGAGUUCGAGAGGCUGAGACAGGAGAAUCGCUUUAACCCGGGAGGCAGAGGUUGCAAUGAGCCGAGACGGCACCAUUCACCAUUGCACUCCAGCCUGGGUGACAGAGCA